UUUAUGGAGAGUUUGAUCCUGGCUCAGGAUGAACGCUGGCGGCGUGCCUAAUACAUGCAAGUCGAGCGAACAGACGAGGAGCUUGCUCCUCUGACGUUAGCGGCGGACGGGUGAGUAACACGUGGGUAACCUACCUAUAAGACUGGGAUAACUUCGGGAAACCGGAGCUAAUACCGGAUAAUAUUUUGAACCGCAUGGUUCAAAAGUGAAAGAUGGCUCUGCUAUCACUUAUAGAUGGACCCGCGCCGUAUUAGCUAGUU
rnacentral:rRNA from 1 species